rnacentral:rRNA from 1 species
UACGUAGGGCGCAAGCGUUAUCCGGAAUUAUUGGGCGUAAAGAGCUCGUAGGCGGUCUGUCGCGUCUGCUGUGAAAACUCAGGGCUUAACCCUGAGCUUGCAGUGGGUACGGGCAGACUAGAGUGCGGUAGGGGAGACUGGAAUUCCUGGUGUAGCGGUGGAAUGCGCAGAUAUCAGGAGGAACACCGAUGGCGAAGGCAGGUCUCUGGGCCGAUACUGACACUGAGGAGCGAAAGCGUGGGAGCGAACAGG